GAAGACUUGCACUCUGAUUGAUGUUACAGAAAUAGUGAGGUUAUGCCACAAUGCUGAUAGACUUGGUACUUGUAGGAUGGAGAGGAGAAAACUGAAAAGGAUGUUGAUAUGAGGAAUCCAAGGAAGUGGAAGAGGAAGAAAGUUCUGAUGAUGGUGAUAAUUAGAAUAUCAAGUUUGACGACGAUGAUGAUUGGAACCAAGAGGAGGAAGUACCUGCCGCUAAAACCCACCAAAGAAUUAGCAAGAAAAUUGAUGGUGGGAGCUAGCAAUGCCGGCAGUGCCUCCUUUAGGAUUACAAAAUCGUUAAUCCUAUCUUCGCUUGCAUGUGACUGAUGGUGAUGCUACACAAGUACUGAAGGCAGUGCCCUC